AGAGUUUGAUCCUGGCUCASGACGAACGCUGGCGGCGUGCCUAAUGCAUGCAAGUCGAGCGACGCAUAUGGGGCUUGCCCCGUAUGACGGAGCGGCGAACGGGUGAGUAACACGUGAGCAACCUGCCCCGAAGACCGGGAUAGCCCGAGGAAACUCGGAUUAAUACCGGAUACCUUCACACCUUCGCAUGAGGGAGUGAAGAAAUGCCUUUGUGCUUCGGGAUGGGCUCGCGGCCUAUCAGCUAGUUGGUGAGGUAAAAGCUCACCAAGGCAUCGACGGGUAGCUGGUCUGAGAGGACGAUCAGCCACACUGGAACUGAGACACGGUCCAGACUCCUACGGGAGGCAGCAGCAGGGAAUAUUGCACAAUGGGCGAAAGCCUGAUGCAGCAACGCCGCGUGAGGGAUGAAGGCCUUCGGGUUGUAAACCUCUUUCAGGAGGGAAGAAAUUGACGGUACCUCCAAAAGAAGCCCCGGCUAACUACGUGCCAGCAGCCGCGGUAAUACGUAGGGGGCGAGCGUUGUCCGGAUUUAUUGGGCGUAAAGGGCUCGUAGGCGGUUCAGUAAGUCGGCUGUGAAAGUCCGGGGCUCAACCCCGGAAAUGCAGUCGAUACUGCUGUGACUAGAAUCAGGUAGAGGAGAAUGGAAUUCCCGGUGUAGCGGUGGAAUGCGCAGAUAUCGGGAGGAACACCAGUAGCGAAGGCGGUUCUCUGGGCCUGUAUUGACGCUGAGGAGCGAAAGCGUGGGGAGCAAACAGGAUUAGAUACCCUGGUAGUCCACGCCGUAAACGUUGGGUACUAGGUGUGGCGAUCCGUCUAACGAUUGCCGUGCCGAAGCUAACGCAUUAAGUACCCCGCCUGGGGAGUACGGCCGCAAGGCUAAAACUCAAAGGAAUUGACGG
rnacentral:rRNA from 1 species